UACGUAGGGAGCAAGCGUUGUCCGGAAUCAUUGGGCGUAAAGCGCGCGUAGGUGGCCACAUAAGUCCGUUGUGAAAGUCAAAGGCUCAACCUUUGAAAGCCGAUGGAUACUGUGUGGCUAGAGUACGGAAGAGGCGAGUGGAAUUCCUGGUGUAGCGGUGGAAUGCGCAGAUAUCAGGAGGAACACCAAUAGCGAAGGCAGCUCGCUGGGACGUUACUGACACUGAGACGCGAAAGCGUGGGGAGCGAACCGG
rnacentral:rRNA from 1 species